GUCAUUUGAAAAAAUUAUAUAUUGAAAAAUAACAAAAUUUCUUCAUGUUUCUUCGCGGAAAUUGUUAAAAAAUUGGUGGUGUGCGUGGUUUUUCGGUUUUUAUACCGCGACCAUUGAACUUCCUGAAGAAAACCGAUGUUUUAAAGGUUAAACGUCAAAAGUUCAUAAAUAUUGUUUGGUAAUUGCAUUUCACACUCAACAACGAAU